rnacentral:rRNA from 1 species
UACAGAGACUGCAAGCGUUAUUCGGAUUCACUGGGCGUAAAGGGUGCGCAGGCGGCCAAGUGUGUUAGGCGUGAAAGCCCGGGGCUUAACCCCGGAAUUGCACCUAAAACUACAUGGCUAGAGCAUUGGAGAGGGUAGCGGAAUUCACGGUGUAGCAGUGAAAUGCGUAGAUAUCGUGAGGAACACCAGAGGCGAAGGCGGCUACCUGGACAAUUGCUGACGCUCAGGCACGAAAGCUAGGGGAGCAAACAGG